rnacentral:rRNA from 1 species
CUGAGAGGAUGACCAGCCACACUGGAACUGAGACACGGUCCAGACUCCUACGGGAGGCAGCAGUGGGGAAUAUUGCACAAUGGGCGCAAGCCUGAUGCAGCCAUGCCGCGUGUAUGAAGAAGGCCUUCGGGUUGUAAAGUACUUUCAGCGGGGAGGAAGGGAGUAAAGUUAAUACCUUUACUCAUUGACGUUACCCGCAGAAGAAGCACCGGCUAACUCCGUGCCAGCAGCCGCGGUAAUACGGAGGGUGCAAGCGUUAAUCGGAAUUACUGGGCGUAAAGCGCACGCAGGCGGUUUGUUAAGUCAGAUGUGAAAUCCCCGGGCUCAACCUGGGAACUGCAUCUGAUACUGGCAAGCUUGAGUCUCGUAGAGGGGGGUAGAAUUCCAGGUGUAGCGGUGAAAUGCGUAGAGAUCUGGAGGA